rnacentral:snoRNA from 1 species
UGGUAGUAAUGAAAAAAGUCGGUCUUACUGCUGCAACCAUUUGGUUGGUAGUAGGUCGAUGAAAGUUUAUGAGAUGUAAUUUUUUCCCG